rnacentral:piRNA from 1 species
UCAUUGUAAACAGACUGUAACUGC